ACGGGUGAGUAAUGCCUAGGAAUCUGCCUGGUAGUGGGGGAUAACGUUCGGAAACGGACGCUAAUACCGCAUACGUCCUACGGGAGAAAGCAGGGGACCUUCGGGCCUUGCGCUAUCAGAUGAGCCUAGGUCGGAUUAGCUAGUUGGUGAGGUAAUGGCUCACCAAGGCGACGAUCCGUAACUGGUCUGAGAGGAUGAUCAGUCACACUGGAACUGAGACACGGUCCAGACUCCUACGGGAGGCAGCAGUGGGGAAUAUUGGACAAUGGGCGAAAGCCUGAUCCAGCCAUGCCGCGUGUGUGAAGAAGGUCUUCGGAUUGUAAAGCACUUUAAGUUGGGAGGAAGGGCAGUUACCUAAUAAGUGAUUGUUUUGACGUUACCGACAGAAUAAGCACCGGCUAACUCUGUGCCAGCAGCCGCGGUAAUACAGAGGGUGCAAGCGUUAAUCGGAAUUACUGGGCGUAAAGCGCGCGUAGGUGGUUUGUUAAGUUGGAUGUGAAAUCCCCGGGCUCAACCUGGGAACUGCAUUCAAAACUGACUGACUAGAGUAUGGUAGAGGGUGGUGGAAUUUCCUGU
rnacentral:rRNA from 1 species